ACCCACUAAAAUGGAUUCCCCUGGUGUAUUAUAUUUUUAUUUAAGUAGUGUCAGACUAGUCAGUGGUAUAAUAAACUUCUACCACGAUUUUUUCAUUUAUAUUUGUCAUCACUUUUGUCCUUAUUAAUAUUCUUCAUGAAAAUGUAAUUCACAAACCGCUUGCCUUUUAAUUACAAAAUCCUUUCUUGAUAUACAAUCCAACAAAUACACCGCCUAACCAACGCCAUAGCCUACUCAUUUGAAAAUAAGAAUUACUGUUCCGCUGUUUUUAUUAGAUAUUACUCAAGCCUUUGACAAGGUUUGGCAUACCUGAC